rnacentral:sRNA from 1 species
AACAACUUGGUUGUUCCUCCACUGGGAUUCCAAAUCUUAUUCGGACACUCACUUUCACUAUCGUAUCUUGUUGCAUAAACUUUUGUAAAUGCUUAUUAAUUAGUUUGCAUUUAUGCCCAUAGUAUGUACUAGAUAUAAAGUACAAUGAAAGUUUUGAACCAAACAAGCUAAAACAAAUUACAUAAGUUCUUAAGCAUUCUUAAUAACAUUUUGAUUCGAUUUAUUUACUUAGUGAACUUUGAACUUUUUCACUCUCUUAGUGAUAUGUAGUUAUCACAAAGCCCAUGCAUCUUUUCCAAGGGUAUAAAGUCUCGGUCCAAGAUCUCAUCUUCUAUGAGCUAUUAUACUACAAGAAAACAAACGAUUGUUUUGCACUUCCCUUGCGAAUGUCGUUUUGCGAGGGAUUAUUUUCUUCCAUUGCAAAAUAUUGGUUUUCUUAUAGUGUUAGAAUCAACCAAUCAAAACUAUGUUUAUUUAAUAACUCGAGAGCGAUUUGAGUGUGAACUAAAUUGGUCACAUACUUUAUUGAACUAUUUCAUACAGGUGUCCCAAAGGAUAGCAUGAGCAUCUUUACCAUGUAAUUUCUCCAUCAAAUUUUGAUCUUCUCAACCCAAGACAUCAAUAUCAUCAGGAAAAAUACUCAUUCUAUUAUUAGAGUUAAAUUCACUUUUAUUUUUGCAAACAAACAAAGACCAAUAGUUGUACAAUAAAACAUCUAUUCACUUUUGUUUUCUCACUCUCUUUUAAUGAUAAAUAAUUCCGACAAAGCCCAUACAUCUUUUCGGAUGGUAUAAACUCUGGGUUCAAGAUCUCAUCUCCAACAAGCUGUUAGAAUCAACCAAUCAAAAGUAUGUUUAUGAGUAUAACUGAAAGCUUAACAACUCGAAAGAGAUUUGAUUGUGAACUAACUUGGUCAAAUACUUUAUCGACCCAUUUCAUACAGGUGUUACAAAGGAUGGCUGAAGUAUAUGGCUAUUUGAAAUCUUAUUAAAAAUCUUAGUGAUUUCUUAUCGUUAGAUGGAAAAACAAAUAUAGUAAUUUCGGGCUCCGUUAUCAUUGUGGUCUAAAAGAGUAUUCUUUACUCGUGAAGAUAUCAA